AGGAGCUGUCGCGGGCAGCCGUCUCGCAACUAUGGCGGCCGAGCAGGGCCGGCGGCGGUGGCGGCUGCGGCUACGGCCGGAGUCGGCAGUGGUGGCGGUAGCGGUAGGUGGCGGGGAUCUGUGACCGGGAGCCGCCCCCUGUCCCGAGCACCAUGAGCCAAGGCCCCCCCACAGGGGAGAGCAGCGAGCCCGAAGCAAAGGUCCUCCACACUAAGCGGCUUUACCGGGCCGUGGUGGAGGCUGUGCAUCGACUUGACCUCAUCCUUUGCAACAAAACCGCUUAUCAAGAAGUGUUCAAACCAGAGAACAUUAGCCUGAGGAACAAGCUGCGUGAGCUCUGCGUAAAGCUUAUGUUCCUGCACCCGGUGGACUAUGGGAGGAAGGCUGAGGAGCUGCUGUGGAGAAAGGUGUACUACGAAGUUAUCCAGCUUAUCAAGACUAACAAAAAGCAUAUCCACAGCCGGAGCACCUUGGAAUGUGCCUACAGGACACACCUGGUCGCUGGUAUUGGCUUCUACCAGCAUCUCCUUCUUUAUAUCCAGUCCCACUACCAGCUAGAACUGCAGUGCUGCAUCGACUGGACCCAUGUCACCGACCCCCUCAUAGGAUGCAAGAAGCCAGUGUCUGCCUCAGGGAAGGAGAUGGAUUGGGCACAGAUGGCAUGCCACCGAUGUCUAGUGUACCUGGGGGAUUUGUCACGAUAUCAGAAUGAAUUAGCUGGCGUAGACACUGAGCUGCUAGCUGAGAGAUUUUACUACCAAGCCCUGUCAGUGGCUCCCCAGAUUGGAAUGCCCUUCAACCAGCUGGGCACCCUUGCCGGCAGCAAGUACUAUAAUGUGGAAGCCAUGUAUUGCUACCUGCGCUGCAUCCAGUCGGAAGUGUCCUUUGAGGGGGCCUAUGGGAACCUCAAGCGGCUGUAUGACAAGGCAGCCAAAAUGUACCACCAGCUGAAGAAGUGCGAGACUCGGAAGCUCUCUCCCAGCAAGAAGCGAUGUAAAGACAUUAAGAGGUUGCUGGUGAACUUUAUGUAUCUGCAAAGCCUCCUGCAGCCCAAAAGCAGCUCUGUGGACUCAGAGCUGACAUCACUUUGCCAGUCAGUCCUGGAGGACUUCAACCUCUGUCUCUUCUACCUGCCCUCCUCACCCAACCUCAGCCUGGCCAGUGAGGAUGAGGAGGAGUAUGAGAGUGGAUAUGCUUUCCUCCCGGACCUUCUCAUCUUUCAAAUGGUCAUCAUCUGCCUUAUGGGUGUGCACAGCUUGAAGAGAGCAGGAUCCAAGCAGUACAGUGCAGCCAUUGCCUUCACCCUGGCCCUCUUCUCCCACCUUGUCAAUCAUGUCAACAUACGGCUGCAAGCUGAGCUGGAAGAGGGCGAGAAUCCUGUCCCGGCAUUCCAGAGUGAUGGCACAGAUGAACCAGAGUCCAAGGAACCCUUGGAGAAGGAGGAGGAGCCGGGUCCUGAGCCUCCUCCUGCAGCAUCUCAAGAUGGCGAGGUCAGAAAGAGCCGGAAGUUCUCCCGCCUCUCCUGCCUCCGCCGCCGGCGCCACCCACCCAAAGCUGGUGAUGACAGUGACCUGAGUGAAGGCUUUGACUCAGACUCGAGCCAUGACUCAGCCCGGGCCAGUGAGGGCUCAGAUAGUGGCUCCGACAAGAGCCUUGAAGGUGGGGGAACGGCCUUUGAUGCCGAGACAGAUUCAGAAAUGAACAGCCAAGAGUCCCGAUCAGACCUGGAAGAUAUGGAGGACGAGGAAGGGACACGGUCCCCAGCCCUGGAGCCACCUCGGGCCAGGUCAGAGGCUCCUGAAUCCCUCAACGGCCCACUGGGCACCAGUGAGGCCAGCAUUGCCAGCAAUCUACAAGCCAUGUCCACCCAGAUGUUCCAGACUAAACGCUGCUUCCGACUGGCCCCCACCUUCAGCAACCUGCUCCUCCAGCCCACCACCGAAGCUCCCACCUUGGCCAGCCGCAGGCCCUGUGUCAAUGGGGAUGUGGAGAAGCCCUCAGAACCAGCCUCUGAAGAGGGCUCUGAGUCGGAGGGAAGUGAGUCUAGUGGGCGCUCCUGUCGGAAUGAGCGCAGCAUCCAGGAGAAGUUGCAAGUCCUGAUGGCUGAAGGCCUGCUUCCUGCUGUGAAAGUCUUCCUGGACUGGCUACGGACUAACCCCGACCUCAUCAUUGUGUGUGCGCAGAGCUCUCAAAGUCUGUGGAACCGCCUGUCUGUGUUGCUUAAUCUGUUGCCAGCUGCUGGCGAACUCCAAGAGUCUGGCCUGGUCCUGUGUCCUGAGGUCCAGGAUCUUCUUGAAGGUUGUGAACUGCCUGACCUCCCGUCUAGCUUGCUGCUCCCAGAGGACAUGGCGCUUCGCAACCUGCCUCCCCUCCGGGCUGCCCACAGACGCUUUAACUUUGAAACGGAUCGGCUCUUGCUCAGCACCUCAGAAGAGACGGUCGUGCGCAUCUGCUGCAUCCGCAGCUUUGGCCACUUCGUUGCCCGCCUGCAAGGCAGCAUCCUGCAGUUCAACCCAGAGGUUGGCAUCUUCGUCAGCAUCACCCAGUCUGAGCAGGAGAGCCUGCUGCAGCAGGCCCAGGCCCAGUUCCGCAUGGCACAGGAGGAAGCUCGGCGGAACAGGCUAAUGAGAGACAUGGCCCAGCUACGACUUCAGCUCGAGGUCUCUCAGCUGGAAGGGAGCCUGCAGCAGCCCAAGGCCCAGUCAGCAAUGUCUCCCUACCUCGUCCCCGACACCCAAGCCCUUUGCCACCACCUCCCUGUCAUCCGCCAGCUGGCCACCAGUGGCCGCUUCAUUGUCAUCAUCCCAAGGACAGUGAUCGAUGGCCUGGAUUUGCUGAAGAAGGAACACCCCGGGGCCCGGGAUGGGAUCCGAUACCUGGAGGCAGAGUUUAAAAAAGGGAACAGGUACAUUCGCUGCCAGAAAGAGGCGGGGAAGAGCUUUGAGCGGCAUAAGCUGAAGAGGCAGGAUGCAGAUGCCUGGACGCUCUAUAAGAUCCUGGACAGCUGCAAACAGCUGACUCUGGCCCAGGGGGCAGGUGAGGAGGACCCGAGUGGCAUGGUGACCAUCAUCACAGGCCUUCCACUGGACAACCCCAGCACGCUUUCAGGCCCUAUGCAGGCUUGGCCCGCCUGCCCGCCACUCUCUUCUCCCUCCCAUUGGCCCGGCUGGCAAGAGGCAGGGACUCCACCCGUGGAGCCCGGGGCCUGCCGACCCACCAGCUUAGGAGCGCCCAUCAAACUCUGGGUCAACGUGGAGGUGCCGGGCCACCAUGCUCAGUCUCAAGCUGCCCCAACUCCUUCGCAUCCACCAGGUCCCCAGGGUGUUCUGGGAAGAUGGUAUCAUGUCUGGCUACCGCCGCCCCACCAGCUCGGCCUUGGACUGUGUCCUCAGCUCCUUCCAGAUGACCAACGAGACCGUCAACAUCUGGACUCACUUCCUGCCCACCUGGUGAGGGAGGCUCUGUCCCAGGUUUGGGCCUCGAGCUCAAGGGGGUACUCAGGCGGACCGGGACCGUCCGGGCCCGCGGGCUGCACUGGGAGUCGCUGGGGGUCCGGUGGCCUGAGCACGUGCCCGCCGCAGGUACUUCCUGUGGCGCCUCCUGGCGCUGGCGGGAGGCCAGGGCUUCCGGUCGGAGCCCUACCACUGGCCGCUGCUCGUCUUCCUGCUGCCCGCCUGCCUCUACCCGUUUGCGUCGUGCUGCGCGCACACCUUCAGCUCCAUGUCACCCCGCGCGCGUCACAUCUGCUACUUCCUGGACUACGGCGCGCUCAGCCUCUACAGCCUGGGCUGCGCCUUCCCCUAUGCCGCCUACUCCAUGCCGGCCUCCUGGCUGCACAGCCGCCUGCACCAGCUAUUUGUGCCCGCCGCCGCACUCAAUUCUUUCCUGUGCACCGGCCUCUCCUGCUACUCCCGGUUCCCCGAGCUAGAAAGCCCUGCACUCAGUAAGAUCCUCCGCACGGCCGCCUUCACCUAUCCCUUUCUGUUCGACAACCUCCCGCUCUUCUAUCGGCUCGGACUGUGCUGGGGCAGGGGCCACAGCUGUGGGCAGGAGGCACUGAGCACCAGCCACGGCUACCACCUCUUCUGCGCGUUGCUCACUGGCUUCCUCUUUGCCUCCCACCUGCCUGAGCGGCUGGCACCAGGACGCUUUGAUUACAUCGGCCACAGCCACCAGCUAUUCCACAUCUGUGCAGUGAUGGGCACGCACUUCCAGCUGGAGGCGGUGCUGGCUGAUAUGGGAUCUCGCCGAGCCUGGCUGGCCAUGCAGGAACCGCCGCUGGGCCUGGCGGGCACAGUGGCCACACUAGGCUUGGCGGUGGCCGGGAACCUGCUCAUCAUCGCUGCUUUCACAGCUUCCCUAUUUCGGGCUCCCAGUGCGUGCCCCCUGCUGCAGGGUGGCCCGCUGGAGGGGAAUGCAAAGGCCAAACUACAGUGAGUCCCCAGCUCUGAGCCUGCCUUGGAGGGAAGCAGAGCCCAGGCCCCCCCGCCCCGUGCUGGGGAGGAGCCCAGACCCAGGCCUGAUCAGAUGGGGGCACUUCUGAGCCUGGAACCAAGAGGAGUGGCUGAGGAGAGAGUGCGGAGAUCAGAAGGCAGAGGAGCGGAGAGGGGCUGGGGGGCUGGUAGAGAGCAAGAGGGUCAGGGAGGGUGCUCUUGAUGGAGCUGGGGGAAGUGCUGAGGGUCUGAGAGGGGAGGUGCGUGUGUCCAGGCUGGAGCUGCCCCACCCACCAUCGAAGGCUGGGAUGGGGAGGUGCUGGGCCCUUUCAUCUGGUCCCAUCUCUGGUGCUCCUGGAGUUUCUGCUCAGCCCAGGCAAGAACUAACAUGACUAACCCAGGCCCAUCCUGAAUGCUUAUUAACCAGGCCGGGAGGCCCGCUACUGCCCCCACCCCCAAACCAGGCAGUACCGUCUACCGGAAGCUCUUUGCCUACGGCGACGAGGCUGUCUGUCCUGGUCACAGCCGUGUACUCCAGGCGUUCAGGCCUUUGGGAUCUGGUCUAUUUGGGUGUGUCAUGGAUGGGGCAGUGGGUUGAGGUGGGGGAAGGUGCUGGGCUAGAGAGGAGAACCCUAUUUAGACUUCAGGAAGCCACCUUCAAUGCUUCUGGACUGAGGCAGGGAUAAAUAAAUAACUCAACAACAGAUUUUG